UACGAAGGGGGCUAGCGUUGCUCGGAAUCACUGGGCGUAAAGGGUGCGUAGGCGGGUCUUUAAGUCAGGGGUGAAAUCCUGGAGCUCAACUCCAGAACUGCCUUUGAUACUGAGGAUCUUGAGUUCGGGAGAGGUGAGUGGAACUGCGAGUGUAGAGGUGAAAUUCGUAGAUAUUCGCAAGAACACCAGUGGCGAAGGCGGCUCACUGGCCCGGUACUGACGCUGAGGCACGAAAGCGUGGGGAGCA
rnacentral:rRNA from 1 species